UACGUAGGGGGCUAGCGUUGUCCGGAUUUAUUGGGCGUAAAGAGCGUGUAGGCGGCCAGGUAGGUCUGGUGUGAAAACUCGAGGCUUAACCUCGAGAUGUCAUCGGAAACCAUCUGGCUAGAGUCCGGAAGAGGAGAGUGGAAUUCCUGGUGUAGCGGUGGAAUGCGCAGAUAUCAGGAGGAACACCGAUGGCGAAGGCAGGUCUCUGGGCCACUACUGACGCUGAGAAGCGAAAGCAUGGGGAGCGAACAGG
rnacentral:rRNA from 1 species